rnacentral:misc_RNA from 1 species
GACCAUCUGAAGGUGCAAGCCUCUUGGACAAUGCAUCAACAAUUUUUUUGUCCAUUCCCUUGUACAAAAUUUUGUACUGCAGUUCCAACAAUUUAGAGACCCUCGCUGAGUUGCAAAUUAGUGUGCAAGCUUUGCUCUAGUAGGUGUUUAAUACUCUCAUGAUAUGUCUUAAUGAAGAAGGGACCCUGCCCCAAAUAAUGCCUGCAUUUAGAGACAACAGAGGUAAUUACUAAUAAUUUCCUCUCAUAAAUAGAUAA